UUGUUUUGUUUAGAUAUUGAGAGACUUAGACGAAUUCUACGAGCAAAAUGAAAAGUAUUGGUCUGACGCCUUAGACCAUCAUAAGGCGAGCAGGCAGUGAGAGGUAGGAGGAGUCUGAGGAAAACUUCAUCCAAGGAUACGAUAGAUAGUUAACUUUUCAAGCUUUGGUUCCAGAUGUGUUUAUGUGAUACGCUUCUCAAAGGCUCUUCUCAGUUUGGAUGAGAGCAGUGAUCAUGGAAGAUCAAAUGAGCAACAACAACCCAAUGGUGCUGCGCAAAUCAAGCUCCCCUGAGUAAAGUAGCUUGAUUUCAAAUGGUAACCCCACACCUUUUUUUUGGUUUCAAAACCCCGCACCUUCAGGACACAAGAGAGACAUAAAUGUGUGUUCUCAAGUUAUGAAGCAAUUCAAAAUCCUACUGAUUGAACGAGAUAGCGAAUUUGAAAUGGCUUUUGCUUUUACCUCAUCUCCAGUGUGAUCACUGAUGAAUAAAGCCACCCGUGCCAUCCCGCUCUGGUAAUUGUGAUGCGUUGUAACAUCCUACUACUCUACCCAUCCCAUCCGUGAUAACAAUCUUUCCAGUGUACACAUAUUCAUUGACUAUGCUAAAUGCUACAACUCAGAACAAACAAACAUUUGAAGUGGAUAUUACAACGCAGUAUGAAUCAUAUAGUGGCAUCUGGCAUCCGUGGUUUUAUAGCCAUAGAAUACUAACAUAUUUAACUAUGUCUGUAAUGAUUCAUCUGUGCUCAGGGAAGUCAUUGCUGAGCUUAUGGCUGCUGGUGCAUCCUGGAUUCAGUUUGAUGAGCCUCUUUUUGUCAUGGAUCUCGAGGGUCACAAACUCGAGGCUUUUAGCCGUGCAUAUGCUGAGCUCUCGAAUCAACUCUCUCUGGUUUGAAUGUUCUUGUGGAGACACCUACUUCGCUGACAUCCCUGCUGAAGCAUACAAGACCCUUACUUCCUUCCUUGAAGGGUGUGACUGCCUUUGGAUUUGAUUUGGUUUGUGGCACCAAGACCAUUGACUUGAUCAAGGCUGGUUUCCCCCAGGGCAAGUAUCUCUUUGCUGGUGCUGUUGACGGAAGGAACAUCUGAGCCAAUGACCUCGCUGCAGUCACUUGAGGGUGUUGUUGGUAAAGACAAGCUUGUGGUCUCAAGUCUCAACCUCUUGCUCUCUUUCUCCACACUGCCGUUGACCUUAUUAACGAGACUAAGCUCGAUGACGAAAUCAAGUCGUGGCUAGCUUUUGCUGCCCAGUUGACGCAUUGUCCAAGGCUUUGGCCGGUCAGACAAAUGAGAGUUUCUUCACUGCCAACGCUGAGGCUUUGUCUUCGAGGAGGUCUUCCCCAAGAGUCACCAAUGAGUCUGUCCAGAAGGCUGCUGCUGCUUUGAAGGGAUCUGACCAUCGCCGUACAACAGAAGUUAGUGCAAGGCUAGAUGCUCAGCAGAAGAAGGAGCUCAACCUUCCAAUCCUUCCAACCACAACCAUCGGAUCCUUCCCACAAACUGUGGAACUCAGGAGUAUUUGCCGUGAAUACAAGGCGAAGAAAAUCUCUGAGGAGGAUUACGUCAAGGCCAUCAAGGAAGAAAUCAAGAAAGUUGUUGACAUCCAAGAGGACCUUGACAUUGAUGUUCUUGUUCACGGAGAGCCUGAGGUGAGAGUUUCUUGCCUGUUACUAAACACUGAAACUAACUACUGUUCUGUUUCUUGACUCGAGUCAUGCUUUAACAAC